rnacentral:lncRNA from 1 species
UAAAAUUUUCCCGACGCUAUACUAUAGGAAAUACCUUAUUUAACGAAAGGAAGUACCGUCGUUGAUAACCUAUAUUUCCGUCGUUAAAGGUCAAUAACGACGGCAAUUCCAUCCGUCGUGACCCGUCAUAAAAGCGUCCUUCAUUAAAAAUAGUGACGACCAAAAUGAACUGCUAGUCGUUAUAUACUAUUAACGACCAUAUUAUUUACCGUCGUUAUUUAGUUACAUUAGUAAUCACACUGUUUUACAAUAACGACCAGUUAUACCAUCGUAAUAGAUAUUAUAAAAACUAUAAUUAUCCUAUCCAUAGUGUUAAUAACGACUAAACAUUUCAUCGCUAGUAUUAUUAUUGACCAUAUUUUCCGUCGUUAAAAGCAUUUCAUAAGUAGAAGAAGAUAACAAAACAACGACCAUUCUUCCCGUCGUUAAUGGCCAAAUAUUGAAUUUGGAUAUUUUAUUUUUGGCCAUUUAUUUAAUCGCAAAUAAUUUAUAUAAACAAUGAUACAUAUACAUAUACAUAUACAUAUGUAUAUGCAU